AGUGAACGCUGGCGGUAGGCCUAACACAUGCCAGUCGAACGGCAGCACAGUAAGAGCUUGCUCUUACGGUUGGCGAGUGGCGGGCGGGUGAGGAAUACAUCGGAAUCUACUUUUUCGUGGGGGAUAACGUAGGGAAACUUACGCUAAUACCGCAUACGACGUACGGGUGAAAGCAGGGGAUCUUCGGACCUUGCGCGAUUGAAUGAGCCGAUGUCGGAUUAGCUAGUUGGCGAGGUAAAGGCCUACCAAGGCGACGAUCCGUAGCUGAUCUGAGAGGAUGAUCAGCCACACUGGAACUGAGACACGGUCCAGACUCCUACGGGAGGCAGCAGUAGGGAAUAUUGGGCAAUGGGCGCAAGCCUGAUCGAGCAACACCGCGUGAGUGAAGAAGGCCUUCGGAUUGUAAAGCCCUGUUAUUGGGAAAGAAAAGCAGUAGGUGUAUACACGGCUGUUCUGACGGUACCCAAAGAAUAAGCAACGGCUAACUUCGUG
rnacentral:rRNA from 1 species